GACGAACGCUGGCGGCGUGCUUAACACAUGCAAGUCGAACGGAAAGGCCCUGCUUUUGUGGGGUGCUCGAGUGGCGAACGGGUGAGUAACACGUGAGUAACCUGCCCUUGACUUUGGGAUAACUUCAGGAAACUGGGGCUAAUACCGGAUAGGAGCUCCUGCUGCAUGGUGGGGGUUGGAAAGUUUCGGCGGUUGGGGAUGGACUCGCGGCUUAUCAGCUUGUUGGUGGGGUAGUGGCUUACCAAGGCUUUGACGGGUAUCCGGCCUGAGAGGGUGACCGGCGACAUUGGGACUGAGAGACGGCGCAGACGCCUACGGGAGGCAGCAGGGGGGAAUAUUGCACAAUGGGCGGAAGCCGGAUGCAGCAGCGCCGCGUGCGGGAUGACGGCCUUCGGGUUGUAAACCGCUUUCGCCUGUGACGAAGCGUGAGUGACGGUAAUGGGUAAAGAAGCACCGGCUAACUACGUG
rnacentral:rRNA from 1 species